rnacentral:lncRNA from 1 species
CCGCUGUCGUCCCAGUGACAUCUGUUGCCUCCGUGCCUGAGCCCAGACCCAGGAAAAUAGUCGACACCAGGGUUAAGACAGCCGUUGAUGUCGCUGUUAAUCAGCCGGGGGUACCGAAGGUGAAGGAGGCCGCCCCAGAGCCUGCGAAGGAUGACCCCCCUCCGGUUUCUGUUGUAGUAAAAGACCCAUUUGAAGGCAUGAAGCCAGGAUGCACCAAGGUGGCCACUCCUCUCCCUGUACUCCUCCCCGAGUUAGUUCAGACAGUCAGUGCAGAGCCAGAACUUGAGGAUUCAAACGUUUCUGGCCAAGUUUACACCCCUUUGAUUAAAUUCACCCCGGCGUCACCAACCCCAUUGUCACCUACCCCUGUGUCACCUGUCCCACUGUCUCCUGCCCCUGAGUCUUCGGCAAUAGUCACAGUGACGAUUGAACCUAUACCUGAACCAGAAACAGCACCAGCUCCAAAGCCACGCUCCAGUGUUGACACGCUCACCGCCUUGUCCGGCACUCUCAUUUCUUUCGACACAAGUUCAACCAGCUUUGUGGAUGAUGAGCCAGUGCUGGCAGAGGAAGAAGGAGGCUCAGUGGACAGACGAACCUCAGAGGACAGUGUUGAACCGGAGCCAGCUCCAGAGAUCAGCAACUGUGCACCAGUG